UACGUAGGGGGCAAGCGUUGUCCGGAAUUAUUGGGCGUAAAGAGCUCGUAGGCGGUUAGUCGCGUCUGCUGUGAAAACUCGGGGCUUAACCCUGGGCCUGCAGUGGGUACGGGCUGACUAGAGUGCGGUAGGGGAGACUGGAAUUCCUGGUGUAGCGGUGAAAUGCGCAGAUAUCAGGAGGAACACCGGUGGCGAAGGCGGGUCUCUGGGCCGUAACUGACGCUGAGGAGCGAAAGCGUGGGGAGCAAACAGG
rnacentral:rRNA from 1 species